AGAGUUUGAUCCUGGCUCAGGACGAACGCUGGCGGCGUGCUUAACACAUGCAAGUCGAACGGAGUGCCUCGGAAAGAGAUUUCGGUCAAUGGAAGAGGUUACUUAGUGGCGGACGGGUGAGUAACGCGUGAGGAACCUGCCUUUCAGAGGGGGACAACAGCUGGAAACGGCUGCUAAUACCGCAUAACAUAUAGGUAUCGCAUGGUGCCUAUAUCAAAGAUUUAUCGCUGAAAGAUGGCCUCGCGUCUGAUUAGCUAGUUGGUAGGGUAACGGCCUACCAAGGCGACGAUCAGUAGCCGGACUGAGAGGUUGGCCGGCCACAUUGGGACUGAGAUACGGCCCAGACUCCUACGGGAGGCAGCAGUGGGGAAUAUUGGGCAAUGGGCGCAAGCCUGACCCAGCAACGCCGCGUGAAGGAAGAAGGCUUUCGGGUUGUAAACUUCUUUUAAGAGGGAAGAGUAGAAGACGGUACCUCUUGAAUAAGCCACGGCUAACUACGUG
rnacentral:rRNA from 1 species